rnacentral:lncRNA from 1 species
AUGGACAUCUUAUCUAGGCAGUAGGAAAUAAAAGAAAAAGGGAGUCGAAGGCUCUUCAUUAUUUAGAUGAAAAAAUAUAUGACUCGUGCUUAUAAGAGAACAAUCCUUUAUGAGGAUCCUCCAUGGGAGCCUACACACAAGAUAAAUACCGGCAUGUGGCAUGCAGGAAAUGGAGCUUAUUAGAUCAGUUGUCUGUAGGUGAGGCUCCUUUGAUAGAGGCCCUUCUUUCCCCUGCACACGGAAGACAUUUGCAUUUGUAGAGCUGCUCUUCGGUGCUGAUGCCCACCGUUAAAGCUACCACAGCAGCAACCGUGAGCAAGGAGUGGCAGGCAAUGUAAACAACUAAGGAGAAACAGGAGGCGUAUCACAAUAGCCCAGAAGCAAGAAGGACGUUACUACGGAUGGAGAAUAUCAAUUUAGGAUACACACGGACUGAUGUUUUUUCAGGAGAACAUGGCACCCUCUAAGUUGCCCAAGGUUGUUAUCAUUCAGUGCCAACAAAGAGGCCAUUGCCACACAGGGUCCAGCCUGCAAGGCCUCUUCUUCAGGUUGCUGAGCCCCGGCCAGAGCCAAGUGGGAUCCAGGAUUUCCUUAAUGGAGUGUACAGGCUUCUUGAUCCUUUAAAGGACUGAACAGGUCAUCCCCAUAGCUCUACACCAAUUGAGAAAGCAGGAGAAUAACAGUGAAGAAUACCAUAUUUUUCAUGUAACUAUUCCAAUAAAUGUCAAAGGGCCAGAAUGUCUUAAACA